AAUGACAAAUGAAGAUGGCGGAGCAUGAAUGUAGUUUCCACGUCUGUCCAGAGACUGCUGAAAACAGAGAAGGUCAAACACCUGCGGCAGACGGUCACGGAUACGCAGGAGUUCAUCUGUUCAUUCCAGACUGAGGCUCCACAGAAGAGAGGCCCCUGCUCAGCACAAGAUCGAUCCCUGCAGGAGAGUUAAAGCUCAGGACCUCAUGGACCCACUGCCUUUUUUGACCAUCAUGCCAGGGUGCAAGCACCAGUCACAACCAUAUUCACCGUUGAAUCGUUUGCAAUUCCGGAGGAGUGGCCUCGCAACGGCAUCAGAGGAGCAAACCAAGGAGAAG